AUGAUGUUUGAUCAGUCAUUAAUAUGGAUUAUGGACUUUUUAGACAGAAGCAAUAGUGUGAACUUAAACAAAUAUCGGUAUCAGGAUGAAGAGACUCCGCCCCUGGAGCACAGCCCCGCCCACCUGGCUCACAGCAAGAGCGCUGAGAUGCUUCACAUGAGUGAUAAGAACCUGGCUGCCAUGGACACCCUGCACAGUUACGGCCCACACACACACAUCUCACCAAUAAAGGUACGGACACACACACACACACACACAUACAGGAUUGUCAAUGGAGCAGAAGGAGAGAUUGAAUAUGAAGAGAUUACGCUGGAAAGGGGAAACUCUGGGCUAGGCUUCAGUAUUGCCGGAGGGACUGAUAAUCCUCAUGUCGGAGACGACCCCAGCAUCUUCAUCACUAAGAUCAUUCCUGGAGGAGCCGCCGCACAAGACGGGAGACUCAGAGUAAACGACAGCAUUCUCUUCGUGAAUGACGUCGAUGUUCGGGAGGUGACACACAGUCAGGCGGUGGAGGCGCUCAAGGAGGCGGGUGCUAUCGUCAGACUCUAUGUAUUACGCAGGAAACCCGUUGCUGAGAAAGUCACCGAAAUCAAGCUCAUCAAAGGGCCAAAAGGGCUAGGCUUCAGUAUAGCGGGUGGUGUGGGGAACCAGCACAUCCCUGGAGACAACAGCAUUUAUGUCACAAAGAUCAUCGAGGGAGGAGCGGCUCAUAAGGACGGGCGACUACAGAUCGGUGAUAAGAUACUGGCGGUGAAUAAUGUGUGUUUGGAGGACGUGAUGCAUGAGGACGCGGUGGGCACGCUGAAGAACACAGCAGAGGUGGUCUACCUCAGAGUGGCCAAGCCAACCAACCUGUACCUUACCAGCACCUACAACCCACCAGACCUCACGAGCACGUACUCUCCGCAUAUGGACACGGACCUCGGACAUCCGAACUUCCUGGCCUCGGAUUACCCACAAGCCCUCACUCCCACCUCACCAAGCCGCUUUUCUCCAGUGCUGCAUGGCUUGAUGGGAGAGGAUGACUUACCCAGGGACCCGAGGCGUGUUGUGAUCCACAGAGGAUCGACGGGUUUGGGCUUUAAUAUAGUUGGAGGGGAGGAUGGCGAGGGAAUAUUCAUCUCUUUCAUCCUGGCAGGAGGCCCUGCGGACCUGAGCGGAGAACUGCGCAAAGGAGAUCAGAUCUUGAGCGUGAGAACAUUUGUGUUUGUUUGUGCAGAGUACAGUCGAUUUGAAGCUAAAAUUCAUGAUCUCCGAGAGCAGCUGAUGAACAGCAGUAUGGGCUCUGGAACAACUACAUUACGAAGUAACACUAAACGAGGAUUUUAUAUCAGGGCUCUGUUUGACUAUGAUAAGACGGCAGACUGUGGUUUCCUGAGUCAGGCCGUGGGCUUUAGGUUUGGAGAUGUGCUGCAUGUUUUGGACUGUGGAGAUGAGGAGUGGUGGCAGGCCUGCAGAGUCAGCCCACAGGGGGACGAGGAGGAGGUCGGCUUCAUCCCCAGCAAGAGGAGGGUUGAGAGAAAAGAGUGGACGCGGUUGAAGUCCAAAGAAAGGGUAAGAAAGGCCGUAUCUCUCUCGUGUGUCGCACCCUGUUUAGUGCACUACGCGAGGCCCAUCAUUAUUCUGGGCCCGGUGAAGGACAGAGUGAAUGAUGACCUGCUGUCUGAGUUCCCAGACAAGUUUGGCUCUUGUGUCCCUCAUACGACACGACCCAAGCGGGAGUAUGAGGUGGAUGGGCGGGACUAUCAUUUUGUGUCGUCACGGGAACAGAUGGAGAAAGACAUCCAGAACCAUCGUUUCAUCGAGGCGGGCCAGUACAACAGCCACCUGUACGGAACCAGCGUUCAGAGCGUCCGAGAGGUGGCCGAACAGCAGGGAAAGCAUUGUAUUCUGGAUGUGUCCGCAAAUGCAGUUCGUAGGCUACAAGCUGCACAGCUUCACCCGAUUGCCAUCUUCGUGCGGCCCAAAUCACUGGAGAACGUCCUAGAGAUCAACACACGUCUAACUGAGGAACAAGCCAGGAAAGGUAUGGACCGCGCUAUUAAACUGGAGCAAGAUUUCCUGGAGUGCUUCUCUGCAAUCGUGGAGGGCGACAGCUUCGAGGAGGUUUAUCACAAGGUGAAAACUGUGAUCGAGGAGCAGUCAGGGCCUUAUAUCUGGAUUCCCACCAGGGAGCGUCUGUGA
ensembl:lncRNA